CCUACGGGAGGCAGCAGUGAGGAAUAUUGCGCAAUGGCCGAGAGGCUGACGCAGCGACGCCGCGUGUGGGAUGAAGCUCUUCGGGGUGUAAACCACUGUUGCCCGGGACGAAUCCCUGGUUUCGACCAGGUUGACGGUACCGGGUGAGGAAGCACCGGCUAACUCCGUG
rnacentral:rRNA from 1 species